rnacentral:rRNA from 1 species
GAUGAACGCUAGCGGCAGGCCUAAUACAUGCAAGUCAAGGGGUAGCAAUACACCGGCGGACGGGUGCGUAACGCGUACAUAACAUGCCCUUAGGUGGGGGAUAGCAUCGGGAAACUGGUGGUAAUACCCCAUAGUAUUCAUUGGUGGCAUCAUUAGUGAAUUAAAGGCAACGCCUAAGGAUUGAUGUGCGUAUGAUUAGCUAGUUGGCGAGGUAACGGCUCACCAAGGCGACGAUCAUUAGGGGGUGUGAGAGCAUGGCCCCCCACACGGGUACUGAGACACGGACCCGACUCCUACGGGAGGCAGCAGUAAGGAAUAUUGGACAAUGGAGGGAACUCUGAUCCAGCCAUGCGGCGUGAAGGAAGAAGGUCCUCUGGAUUGUAAACUUCUUUUGGACGGGAACAAAACCCUGGAUGCGUCCGGGCCUGAGGGUACCGUCAGAAUAAGCACCGGCUAACUCCGUGCCAGCAGCCGCGGUAAUACGGAGGGUGCAAGCGUUAUCCGGAAUCACUGGGUUUAAAGGGUGCGUAGGCGGUCUGAUAAGUCAGUAGUGAAAUCGCUGGGCUUAACCCAUGCAAUUGCUAUUGAUACUGUGAGACUUGAAACAGGUUGAGGUAGGCGGAAUGUGACAUGUAGCGGUGAAAUGCAUAGAUAUGUCAUAGAACACCGAUUGCGAAGGCAGCUUGCUGGACCUGAUUUGACGCUGAGGCACGAAAGC